AGGAUGAACGCUGGCGGCGUGCUUAACACAUGCAAGUCGAACGCUGAAGCUCUCAGCUUGCGUGGGGGUGGAUGAGUGGCGAACGGGUGAGUAUCACGUGAGGAACCUGCCCUGAACUCUGGGAUAAGCCUGGGAAACUGGGUCUAAUACUGGAUAGGACUGAUCAUCGCAUGGUGGUUGGUGGAAAGCUUUUUGCGGUUUGGGAUGGUCUCCCGGCCUAUCAGCUUGUUGGUGGGGUAUGGCCUACCAAGGCGGUGACGGGUAGCCGGCCUGAGAGGGUGACCGGCCACACUGGGACUGAGACACGGCCCAGACUCCUACGGGAGGCAGCAGUGGGGGAUAUUGCACAAUGGGGGAAACCCUGAAUGCAGCGACGCCGCGUGAGGGAUGACGGCCUUCGGGUUGUAAACCUCUUUCAGCUGGGAAGAAGCCCUUUUUGGGUGACGGUACCUUCAGAAGAAGCACCGGCUAACUACGUGCCAGCCGCCGC
rnacentral:rRNA from 1 species